rnacentral:rRNA from 1 species
GAGGAGCUUGCUCCUCCGGAUUAGUGGCGAACGGGUGAGUAAUACGUGAGCAAUGUGCCCUUGACUCUGGGAUAAGCGCUGGAAACGGCGUCUAAUACCGGAUACGACCCUCGGAGGCAUCUCCUGUGGGUGGAAAGAACUUCGGUCAAGGAUCAGCUCACGGCCUAUCAGCUUGUUGGUGAGGUAAUGGCUCACCAAGGCGACGACGGGUAGCCGGCCUGAGAGGGUGACCGGCCACACUGGGACUGAGACACGGCCCAGACUCCUACGGGAGGCAGCAGUGGGGAAUAUUGCACAAUGGGCGCAAGCCUGAUGCAGCAACGCCGCGUGAGGGACGAAGGCCUUCGGGUUGUAAACCUCUUUUAGCAGGGAAGAAGCGAAAGUGACGGUACCUGCAGAAAAAGCACCGGCUAACUACGUGCCAGCAGCCGCGGUAAUACGUAGGGUGCAAGCGUUGUCCGGAAUUAUUGGGCGUAAAGAGCUCGUAGGCGGUUUGUCGCGUCUGCUGUGAAAACCCGAGGCUCAACCUCGGGCUUGCAGUGGGUACGGGCAGACUAGAGUGCGGUAGGGGAGAUUGGAAUUCCUGGUGUAGCGGUGGAAUGCGCAGAUAUCAGGAGGAACACCGAUGGCGAAGGCAGAUCUCUGGGCCGUAACUGACGCUGAGGAGCGAAAGCAUGGGGAGCAAACAGGCUUAGAUACCCUGGUAGUCCAUGCCGU